CUUUCUCCGGAGGACUCAGAGGAGGGCUCAGCUAUGAAGAGAUUACCUUAUUCCGAGGAGGAGUUUGGAUCACCUCCCAAUAAGCUGGCAAGGACGGAUGAGCCCAAAAGAGUUUUGCUGUAU